rnacentral:rRNA from 1 species
UACGUAGGGGGCAAGCGUUGUCCGGAUUUAUUGGGCGUAAAGAGCGUGUAGGCGGCUUGGUAGGUCCGCUGUGAAAACUCGAGGCUCAACCUCGAGAUGUCGGCGGAAACCACUUGGCUAGAGUCCGGAAGAGGAGAGUGGAAUUCCCGGUGUAGCGGUGAAAUGCGCAGAUAUCAGGAGGAACACCCGUGGCGAAAGCGGCUCUCUGGGACGGUACUGACGCUGAGACGCGAAAGCGUGGGGAGCAAACAGG